GGGCGGUUAACUCAGCGGUAGAGUGCCUGCCUUACAAGCAGGUUGUCACUGGUUCGAAUCCGGUACCGCCCA
rnacentral:tRNA from 1 species